rnacentral:tRNA from 1 species
GCCCGGGUGGCGAAACUGGUAGACGCUUGGGACUUAAAAUCCUUUGGGGGCGACCCCGUGCGGGUUCGAAUCCCGCCCCGGGCA